rnacentral:rRNA from 1 species
GAUGAACGCUAGCGGGAGGCCUAACACAUGCAAGCCGAGCGGUAUUUAUUCUUCGGAAUAGAGAGAGCGGCGUACGGGUGCGGAACACGUGUGCAACCUGCCUUUAUCAGGGGGAUAGCCUUUCGAAAGGAAGAUUAAUACCCCAUAAUAUAUUGAUUGGCAUCAAUUGAUAUUGAAAACUCCGGUGGAUAAAGAUGGGCACGCGCAAGAUUAGAUAGUUGGUGAGGUAACGGCUCACCAAGUCGAUGAUCUUUAGGGGGCCUGAGGGGGGGAUCCCCCACACUGGUACUGAGACACGGACCAGACUCCUACGGGAGGCAGCAGUGAGGAAUAUUGGACAAUGGGUGAGAGCCUGAUCCAGCCAUCCCGCGUGAAGGACGACGGUUCUAUGGAUUGUAAACUUCUUUUAUAUAGGGAUAAACCUACUUACGUGUAAGUAGCUGAAGGUACUAUAUGAAUAAGCACCGGCUAACUCCGUGCCAGCCGCCGCCGUAA